rnacentral:rRNA from 1 species
GAUGAACGCUAGCUACAGGCUUAACACAUGCAAGUCGAGGGGCAUCAGGAAGAAAGCUUGCUUUCUUUGCUGGCGACCGGCGCACGGGUGAGUAACACGUAUCCAACCUGCCCUUUACUCGGGGAUAGCCUUUCGAAAGAAAGAUUAAUACCCGAUAGCAUAAUGAUUCCGCAUGGUUUCAUUAUUAAAGGAUUCCGGUAAAGGAUGGGGAUGCGUUCCAUUAGGUUGUUGGUGAGGUAACGGCCCACCAAGCCUUCGAUGGAUAGGGGUUCUGAGAGGAAGGUCCCCCACAUUGGAACUGAGACACGGUCCAAACUCCUACGGGAGGCAGCAGUGAGGAAUAUUGGUCAAUGGGCGCUAGCCUGAACCAGCCAAGUAGCGUGAAGGAUGAAGGCUCUAUGGGUCGUAAACUUCUUUUAUAUAAGAAUAAAGUGCAGUAUGUAUACUGUUUUGUAUGUAUUAUAUGAAUAAGGAUCGGCUAACUCCGUGCCAGCAGCCGCGGUAAUACGGAGGAUCCGAGCGUUAUCCGGAUUUAUUGGGUUUAAAGGGAGCGUAGGUGGACUGGUAAGUCAGUUGUGAAAGUUUGCGGCUCAACCGUAAAAUUGCAGUUGAUACUGUCAGUCUUGAGUACAGUAGAGGUGGGCGGAAUUCGUGGUGUAGCGGUGAAAUGCUUAGAUAUCACGAAGAACUCCGAUUGCGAAGGCAGCUCACUGGACUGCAACUGACACUGAUGCUCGAAAGUGUGGGUAUCAAACAGGAUUAGAUACCCUGGUAGUCCACACAGUAAACGAUGAAUACUCGCUGUUUGCGAUAUACAGUAAGCGGCCAAGCGAAAGCAUUAAGUAUUCCACCUGGGGAGUACGCCGGCAACGGUGAAACUCAAAGGAAUUGACGGGGGCCCGCACAAGCGGAGGAACAUGUGGUUUAAUUCGAUGAUACGCGAGGAACCUUACCCGGGCUUAAAUUGCAGUGGAAUGAUGUGGAAACAUGUCAGUGAGCAAUCACCGCUGUGAAGGUGCUGCAUGGUUGUCGUCAGCUCGUGCCGUGAGGUGUCGGCUUAAGUGCCAUAACGAGCGCAACCCUUAUCUUUAGUUACUAACAGGUUAUGCUGAGGACUCUAGAGAGACUGCCGUCGUAAGAUGUGAGGAAGGUGGGGAUGACGUCAAAUCAGCACGGCCCUUACGUCCGGGGCUACACACGUGUUACAAUGGGGGGUACAGAAGGCAGCUAGCGGGUGACCGUAUGCUAAUCCCAAAAUCCUCUCUCAGUUCGGAUCGAAGUCUGCAACCCGACUUCGUGAAGCUGGAUUCGCUAGUAAUCGCGCAUCAGCCACGGCGCGGUGAAUACGUUCCCGGGCCUUGUACACACCGCCCGUCAAGCCAUGGGAGCCGGGGGUACCUGAAGUACGUAACCGCAAGGAUCGUCCUAGGGUAAAACUGGAGACU